rnacentral:rRNA from 1 species
AUUGAACGCUGGCGGAAUGCUUUACACAUGCAAGUCGAACGGCAGCACGGACUUCGGGCUGGUGGCGAGUGGCGAACGGGUGAGUAAUGUAUCGGAACGUGCCCAGUCGUGGGGGAUAACGUAGUGAAAAUUACGCUAAUACCGCAUACGAUCUAUGGAUGAAAGCGGGGGAGUGCAAGACCUCGCGCGAUUGGAGCGGCCGAUAUCAGAUUAGGUAGUUGGUGGGGUAAAGGCCCACCAAGCCAACGAUCUGUAGCUGGUCUGCGAGGACGACCAGCCACACUGGAACUGAGACACGGUCCAGACUCCUACGGGAGGCAGCAGUGGGGAAUUUUGGACAAUGGGCGAAAGCCUGAUCCAGCCAUUCCGCGUGCAGGAUGAAGGCCCUCGGGUUGUAAACUGCUUUUGUACAGAACGAAAAGGUUUCUACUAAUACUAGGAGCUCAUGACGGUACUGUAAGAAUAAGCACCGGCUAACUACGUGCCAGCAGCCGCGGUAA